AUUUUUUCUCUUUCAUGUGACCAGUUUGGCUCUUAUUAACUGAAAACUUGAAUGUACUUGGCGCAGUUCCAAAAUGUGGCUUUCUUGAAGCCGCUUGAAAGGGGAGGGGGUAUUUUUUUUUUUUUUUUUUGCAAAAGCUCUAUAGGGUGUAAGACGGAGGAAUAAAAGACAGAAAGAAAGAUGGCAGUAAUUGUAAUAUCCUGAGAUUUUUUCGCUCAGCCAAAAAAUUCGUGCCAUUGAGCAAGUUUCACAGGGCUGCCGCUGACUCGCUGCAGGACACAUAAAAUCUGAUCAAGUUCAGAGACGCGCUGAGUGCUUCAAGCGGCGCUUUUUAACUCCAAGCCUUUCACAUCCUUUCCCCCUCAAUCUGUCCCAGGAAGGAGCUCACAUUCUUUAUUUUAGGGGAUCUGGGCUAAAAAAAAAAAAAAAAAGCGAGAGAAAAAAGAGAGAAAAAAAUCAAAUCAGUCCUUCAUUCUGUUCUCGCCCUCAUCCUACCGCAUUCACUCCCAGAACAUUUCGUCGAGAAAGAGUUAUAGAUUGAAAAGAUCCUCUUGUUCCUCUGCCUCAUCUAUAUCUAUCCCUGCAGCUCCUGCCCAUCUUCACCUUCCAUGACUUCUUCGUGAUGGCACCCUAAUCUCUGCCAGAGUGGUCUGAUGUAUGCAUUGCAAGGCAGCUGCAUGAUCAAGCCUGUGAACUCUACAUCUGAAGGAAGGAUUCUGUUUCUGAUCAUAUCCCUAUUGAAGUCCAUCCAUUUGCCGAACAUGGAGGUGUUGACGCACUCGCGCUUGCACUCACUGGUAUGUGGUGGUUACAUUUCUAUGUACUGGACGUGACUGUGUGCCGAUAUUUAGUGUUUGUAACAGUAGUGGGAGCACAUUUUAGAACGCUGUAAGGGAGGAUGCAUGGCAAUCUCGCUGUUAACCUUCAGCCUUACGAGUUCACCCCAGGGCCUAAAUCUACAAUGAUGGAUAUAAGGUGACGGGGAAUAGGGGGUCUUCACACAACCUUGGAAUUUCCCCUGAUGUUUUUUACUUACAUUUAGACCAAGAUUUGCACUGCGAUGAUAUUUUAUAUUAGGGGUGUAUCAUUAAUGGAGGGGACAAAUGUGAUUUGUUGACCCUAAAGUGGAUGGCACAGACAAAAACAGAGUAAUGGCAUUGAGGCAACAAGAGGGAAUGCAAGGUAACCGGUUGAUGAUAUAUGUAUUUACACUCAUCAACAAUAUAAUGUCCCCAGGGGACCAAGGUUUCAUUUAUAUCCCUUUGAAAUUAAAGCCCUAAUGAUGGAAAUUAUUAGCCACUUGCUAAAGAGAGCACAGGGGCAUGCGAGAGAGUAAUUAGUGACCAGUGAAGCUUUGAGGAGAUGAAGUAAUGUAUUUAAAGGCAAAAAUAAUCAUCAGUAAGGAAGCCUGGCCUUCUAUUAGGUGCAGUCUAUGAUAUGGUAAUUUGAUAUGCAUCGAGUGAGGAUUCGUGCAUACAGCAUCACAUUAAAUCAAAAACAGCUGCAUUAAUUUUUGUCUUACGAUCAGUGGCAUACCACCUUCACUGCUGACUCAGACCUGUGACGUGUUCACCUUUUCAUGGAUGACUUUCAAAAAGAACAAGGAAGAACUGAUGGUAUUUAUUUCAGUCAGCAGGGAAUAAUCCUAGUUUUAAGAUAUCUGAAAGAGAAGAGGGAUCAAAACUCCAUCUCUUAUGUAACAGGAGAGUGUGUCACAUUGUUUUUUUAGGUCCUGUAUUAAAGUAGGAUAUGGCAGAGGUAAUUAGCAAUUUUCCUCAGCUCAACUCCAGUACCUUAUGUUAUCUGUUUGGUUGCUGUUGUGAAUGCCAUAGCAUUCCUUUCAGUUAUGUAAGUGACGGAAUUAUGCAAUCUCUAUAAGUAUGUUUCAGAAAAAAUCAUCUGCAACAAAAAGGAAAAUAUACUUAUGGAAAUGCUAUGCCUACAGUAUAACAAAUACAAAAUCCCCACCGUUUUGACAUGCAUCAGGUCAGUAAUACCCAAACAAAAGCUGAGUGUGCAACAGAAGAAAGAAGAGAGGGAGUUUGUUUACUGUAGAAACAAUGAUAUUUGUAUUUAAAAGUGUACGCUUCUUGACUUUCAAGACCAAAGAAACAGCUACAAAUGAAUCAGUAAAGCUAUGUGUGUAAUAUAUUAGACUCACUUCCUGUUUGAAAACAUCAUUAACUUUGCUAUAUGCAUUAAUUUCAUUCAAAAUAUCCCACAAAAGGGACCAUGAAUAAUUCCAAGGAACCAAUGGAAGAGAGGGAAAAAAAGAUACAGCCAUCACUCAUAUCACGCAGCUGCAGUAUAAGUACCCUUUUCUGCCUGUGUUUUAAAAUGGUGUAAAUGUCUUUGUAUUCAUCAACACAUUACGGUAAUGUGCCAAACAGGUACAGUGGAAACAGCUUAGAAGUCAGCAUGCGCUGUUGAUAAUAUAAAUUGUAACAUGUGAACAAGAGAUUAUUGCAAAAUGGCUGACUUGACUGCCUACACAUAUUUUUUUUACUGAUCUCUAAUAUAAAACAGCUUUUACUGUUGUUGCAUGUUGCAUGUAAAUCCAUACGUAUAAUAUAACAAUAUCAAUUUAUGUUUUUUCCAUUUUAGUUUAAUUUGGGGAUCCCAAGUAAGAAGAUAAUUUCUUUUUCUUUUUUACUGUCUGCUAAGAAAGACAGAUUGUGAGACUGGAAGGUGGUCUGUGUGUGUGUGUGUGUGUCUGCGUAUAUGAGUGGGCAUGUGUGCAUUAUGCGUGUGUUAAACGGGACCUAGGCCACAGCAGCGUGGAGGACUGAAGUCUCCGUGUAUUCUAGCUCAGAGAUCACAGAACUUAUGAAAGACUGCUCUUUGAUCAUUUCCAUUUCUAAAAUAAUUUGCUUUGAACAUUUCAAGUCACUUGUGCUUUUAUUUAUGGAGCCUGUAGACAAUCAAGGAGUUGAAAAUAAUUAGGCUCACGCGCACAUGAGUGUGGACACGUAUUCCCUUUCAAUCAGUUAAAACCAGCUCUGUUAAUUAAAGUUCUAAGCUGUGACUCUGCCCAAAUAAUUUUCUUGUAAGCUACUGCAUUCCUCAGAUCUGUUGUCAGUAGUGCAUAUUUUCUUUUGGUUGUUCCUUUCUAUGUUUUUUUCCUACAGAAAUCCCACUGACCCAUAUAGUUGAUCUCAUUCUUGAAGCAUAUAAUAUAGAUUCCAAGUUAAGAGAAUAGGGGCUCUAUUAUUAGUCCCAUUUGAGGUGCGCAGCCUCCAUCUAGGUACUGCUGUGUAUUUCUGAAUUCCCUGAGUGAAGGCAUUACCAUCUCAUUUGGGUGAGGGUGAGAUUACCUCAUGCAACCGAGCUGUUUUAUCACAGAAUAUCUAGGGGAGCUGAGCUGUAGCUGCUGACUGUUUAUUCAGGCAGCUGAAGGAAGAGACAUUCCAGGCACAUUUCACAAAUAUCACACAUGACAACUUGUGAUGCCACCUUACUGAUGUUUCCCAUGAAAGGUCUCUCACUAACAACAACAUCCUAUUGAUCUUCAGCACCAUUUUAACAACCUCCUCUCACCCUCUCACACAUACACACCUGAGUGGGUAUGGAUUGAAAAUGUUAGCGGUUAGCGGCUAACUUUGCCAACACAUCCUUUGGUACGUCUGUCAAUUAAGCCCAGUCAUUGUAGGAGUGGCACAAGAGCAGUCCUGGGCAGAGAGAGAGUGAUGAUAAUCAAAGGUGUAAAUAACGGCUCAUUUCGUGGUGCAGAAUUAAUAUGCAGGACUAACAUUUUUGUCCUUAUUAAAAGGAUGAGAACUCAAAACAAGAAAUAAACUUCUUGGAUUAAAAUUUUGUGUUUAAUUGGAUAGAUGAAACGAGCAAUUAGUUGCAGUUGAGUUAAGUUCUUUUUUUUUCCAAGUCAGCUCAUCUUAAUUUAUUUAAAACAAAAAGGGGAAAUAGUAAUAAUGCAUUCAUUCACUUCUUUCAUAUUUCUUUCACAUUUUUAUAGAACGCCACUGCAAUUCAUUCAACAGUUCGGCUAUCGAAUAUCUUUCAUUUUUCUAUUACGUUUGAGAUCAUAGUUCAAACGAACUAUAUUCUCUUACUAUGUUUUCCUUUUUUUCUAUUAACACCUGUCUGGCCUUUUAAACAAAACAAUAGCUAACAUAUUUGCCACAAACUUUAUAACAGUUUUUACUGAGUUGCUUUAAAUUUUAGUUAUAUUUCAUAAACUGCAUGCAUUUCAGUUUUUUUUUUACAUGAAGAUUUAUGGUACUACUGUUGCUUUAUACUGAGCGUUUUUUUAUCUACAUUAGUAUCAAAACACUGAAUUAUAUCCUUGCUGCCAGUAGAUUUAAAUUCAAGGCCAUUGUAUUAGCCUACAAUAUAGUUAGGUAGUUAAUAGUAUAGUAUUUUAUCCCAGUGUAAACAAUAAACUCCUAAAUAAGUAGGCCAACAUUGUUUGAGUUUAUUUUGCUUCUCUGAAAUAUUACAAAAAAAAGCCCAGGCUACAGGUUAAUGAGAAGUUCUAAUUUCCCAAAGAUCAUAGGAGAGAUAAACGCCCACCUUUUUAGUUCCUCUCUGGUUAUUUCCUCUUUGCUGGCUCUACAUUUGUAGGCAUGAGAUGCUCGUUUUGUAGAUAUAUAAUUUCAACCGAGUGAUGCUGGUGCUGUUGUAACGUUAAAGGAUAUGUUUCUUGUUGUGGAAAAUGGGUGAGAUGACUGGUAGUGUCGUUCCGUUAUUGCACCGACCUUACUCAUCAGUCAGAAAUCAAAGCUUUGACAGUUGCCAACAUUAAAGGGCUGCUUCUGGCACGUCUUGUGCCAAGAGGCUUCUUUAUGCUGAGCAUAUUAAUAUACUGUAGGUCAUGAGCAGGCUCAUCUGCUGAUCAUGUAUGAGAAGAUGGAUACUCUCGAGCCACACCAGGCACAGAUCCAGCCAAUAUUCUUGCUGGAAUAUAAACUCAUCCACUACAAGUGCACUAGCUGGCUACUGAAAUGACUGAAGUAUUAUGACACAGUUUUUUAAUCAACCAGGAAUUUAAAGUAGAGCUCCUGAAAAAUAAAAAGCAAACCUGAGUUUAACUGAAAGAUCCAUCGCUGCAAAAAAAUAAAUACAAUUCCUUCUUCCUGGUGUCACAUCUGUUUGUAGAAAAGAAAGUGAUUCAACAGUACAAGCUAAUCUUAUUGUUAGUUGCAUGUUGUGUACAGGCCAUAAGCUCAUAUUGUUAUUACAGGCUACUUUUGGGUUUUGAUUUCAGACAUUAAAAAAUAAUAAUUCAAAUGUAAACGCUUCGAGUUUCAGACCUUGUCACAAAAUAACCUUUUAUUUUUAGUCCAUGUAUCCACAUUGAGGUAUUUUGUCGCUAUGUUUUUUCUCCACGCGGUUUGGAAUUUUGACUUGGGCAAGCUAUCUGUUUAUCUGCACACGCAACAGAACUUGAACCGACUCUUUUUAGCAUUAAAAUAGUGUCUUAAAAUCUCAAGGAAGUCAGACUUAGCAGCGAAGCUAACAGCUGUAACUCUUUGAUUUGCCGCUUCAGCCACACAUUUAUGAUCAUUAAGGCAAAUGUAACCUGUGCCCACUUAUUACCUGUAAUUAAUUCUCUCAAGUAACUACUCAUCAUUUUUAAUUUUAGUCCAGUUUGGAGUAAGUUUAGACAUUAGAUGUAAAAAUGUUGAAUUCUUAGAUUUUUGCAGAUAAUUUGGCCUGUUUUGAGAUUUAAAGUGUGUAUUAUUAGAAUUUAUAUUGACACAUUAUUACUUCUACAAUGAGCCUGUCUGUCUAGGCGAACAGAAAAAGCAAAGCCCAUUCAUCCUUCUGAAACCGCGUGCACAACUUCUACCGCUGACUGCUGCUUCACAAAAUCACCAGCGACGAGUGCUGUUUUGCAAGGGGCGGUGUCUCUCAAAAUUGAGAUGGAUGGUUUACAAAAAAUAUGUGAAACAUAACAUGCAUGUUUCAUGAUGUCAGUGACAAGACAUGGCACCAUGUCUCCUGCAAUGUAGUUUGUGCCUUUACCAGAGUAUCUUAAUUCCUGUGCAGAGACUGUGAUUUAGUCUUUUUUGUGUGUACCGGGACAUGUUUAUGGGCUAAUAGGCCUUUGUUAGUAGUACUCUAUUUAUUUAAUACAAUUGUAGUGUGAACAGAAGGAAUAAUAAACAGGCUGACUAAACAUACGAUUCUUCUUUUGGGCUGAGAAAACCCUGUGUAAGGACACAAAAGGGGGACGUUUCCACAGCGGAAAGUAAAUUCUUUUGAAGUGGAACUAAUCAUCUGAGGGAUGGUUUUCGUUGUCCUAACAACGCAGCUGAAUUGGAAUGAGCCUUCUUUUUUGUGGAAGAUAUGUUUUCUUUUUUUCAUUCAGAACUGAUGAUGAUAGCAGUUUCACGCCCUGUCCACCCACAUUGUCCGUCCAAACUUCUUUGCAGAUAAGUCUUUACUCGGAGACGCCGAACACACGGCGGGUGACUCUUGGACUGUGACGUCAGCCUCACUCUUGUGUCUCCCAGUCUUUCUCUUUUUUAAAUACCAUUAGAAUGAAAGGGGAAUCUCACAGCAAAUCCUUGUCAAUAACAAUUCUUUCAUAGUGCGAAUGGAUCAAGACUUAAAAAAUACCCCAUAUCAUAAUAUAUCAUCUUUUAUAUUAUGAUAUGGAUAAUAUGAUGCAUUCCUCUUUAGGUUAAGGUUAUUUAAGUCAGGUUUUAUCAAAAUAAACAUUUAUGUUUUAUAGAAAUUAAAAAAUAUGAAGGUAAAAAAAUUAACUAAAGUUACAUUU